rnacentral:rRNA from 1 species
GAUGAACGCUGGCGGCGUGCUUAACACAUGCAAGUCGAACGAAGCACUUUAACCUGAUUCUUCGGAUGAAGGGUUUUGUGACUGAGUGGCGGACGGGUGAGUAACGCGUGGGUAACCUGCCUCAUACAGGGGGAUAACAGUUAGAAAUGACUGCUAAUACCGCAUAAGACCACAGAGCCGCAUGGCUCGGUGGGAAAAACUCCGGUGGUAUGAGAUGGACCCGCGUCUGAUUAGGUAGUUGGUGGGGUAACGGCCUACCAAGCCAACGAUCAGUAGCCGACCUGAGAGGGUGACCGGCCACAUUGGGACUGAGACACGGCCCAAACUCCUACGGGAGGCAGCAGUGGGGAAUAUUGCACAAUGGGGGAAACCCUGAUGCAGCGACGCCGCGUGAGCGAAGAAGUAUUUCGGUAUGUAAAGCUCUAUCAGCAGGGAAGAAAAUGACGGUACCUGACUAAGAAGCACCGGCUAAAUACGUG